GCCAUGGGAGCCGCCGGCCGUGGGGAGGAGGGCGCAGGGGUCCCGCUGGGGAGGGCGGCGAAGGAGCCGCACGGCCCGGCGCUGGGGGGCCGCCGGCUGCCCCGCGGGAGCCUCUCCGGGCGCCCGUCCCCGGUCCCGGCCGCUUUUCCCGGGGAGGCGGGCCAGGAGGGCGGCCGUGCCCCGCUGCCGCUCGCCGGUCACCUCAGCAGGCCUCCGAGUGCCUCCGCGGCGGGGGCGGCCAGCGCAGCACGAAGGAAGCGGAGCGGCCCCCGCGGGCGGACCCGCCGCUGCCGCCGCCUCCUCGGGGAGCCCCGGCUGCGGCCGGCGGGGCGGGAGCGACCUUCCCCUUUGCUCUCCGCCUUUCUCUUCCCACCCACGGUAAACUUUCCAGAGUUAACUUUGUCCCUCUGGCUCCGCGGCUCCGGCUCCUCCUCCUCCGGCACAGGUAGAAGCCGCCGGCGGGGCGCUGCCCCCGCCCUGCCCGCGGGUGAGGGGAGGAGCGGCGGCCGCGCUGCCGAGCCCGGCGGAGCGCUCUGGACCCCGGCCCGGCCGGGCUCUUCCCAGCGCCGCUGUUCCCGGCACGGCUUGCCCCGGCCCGGCGGUGCCGCUCCCCACCCCCGCGGGUGGCGAAGGUCGCCGUGGAGCCGCCGGGAGCGCCUUGAGGCGCCGGAGUUGUUCCCUCGGCGGCGCGGCUGCCCGGGGAGAAGCCGCGCUCCUUCCCGCUUCCUGCGGGAGCGGCCGCCCGGGAUUCCCGGCGCCGCACCCCGCUGGCAGGGAGCUCCCCUCGGGGCUGCUUUCCCACUGCGCGCUGUCCCGCGGUACAAAGAGUUUUGGGCAAAGGCGCAGUGUACAUGUUCUGAUGUUGCAGGGCUCCCAUCUCAAUUCCCUGAUGAGUCCGUGCAGGGUGAGUGCUGUUUUUUUCCCGGAGUUCACCGAGAACGAGUGGAUUGAGGAGGUAGGCACAGAAACUCCACAGCACUCCUGCAAAGAGUGCAGAACACCAGAACAGCAGCAGCUGGAAGUUACAUGCUGAUCAUUAAGCAUAUCAUCACCAGUAGAUUAUUAAAACCAGGAUACUGACAAAGUCAGUCGGGAGUCUUGUUCUGUCAAGACAAAUUGACAUAAAUGCAUUUGUAGACAGUCUUCAGAAAAAAGCCUCCUGAACACAGUGAAAGGAAUGAUGAGAGUUUACCAGAAAAAAGGCAACAGACAAAUUUUAUCAGCCUUCAGAAAAACUGGCAAAACAUCCCCAGUGAUGACCAGACUGGAAAGGUAAAAUGUAUUUCUGUCUAAUAAAAGAACAGAUGCAAAUACUAGAUUCUCCAGAUACAGCAGUGAAAUUAAAGUCACUUAGGAAAAAAAAUGGAAGUAUUCAGCCCGUAGAGAAAGAAAAAAUAAGCGAUACAUAGCAUUUAAUAAAGUCUUUAUGCCAAAGUCCACUUAUCGACCUGCUCUGGAUGCCUGUUUCAAAAGUCAGAAAAAAGUAGAAAGCAGGGAAAAAAUUACAAACAAACCUUGCUAGAUACAGUUUCAGAAAUUGAAAACAAAUUAAAAAAAAAAAAAAAAAAAAACAACAGCCAAUUUGCAAUGCUACAAAAAUGGAUUAUUACAGAGCAUUAAGAAUUUGAGGUACAUCUGAAAUGUGGUCUGUAUAUUGACAUUUCAAAUCCAUUCCUCAUCUUUUUCUGCCAGCACUCUUCAUUUCACCUGCAUUUUGUAGGAUCACUUGCCUAGGCUGGAAAUUAAGACCUUAAGAACUUCUGGCAAGUAAGCUUUAACACUAUCCUCCUACUGUUGAGUUUAUAAACUCAACCAAUUCCAAAGUAAAACUAAGUGACUAAAAUGUUUUUGCCCCAACUAUUAAGUGUAUAGUUAACAAUGGAAAACCCCCUAGGCUUUCCCUGGGCAACCCCAAACCUAUUUAAAUUUCUGACAAUCAGUACCAAAAUACUGUAAAAUGGAAAAUGGUUUGACUUUCCAAUAAGCUUUUUCCUUCUUACUGGCCAUAAAUAUUGUGCCCAAGUAGCAGAUAGAACUUAAAAGUUCUAUCUACCUUUGUAAUUCAUGCGAAUUUGCAAAUGGGCAUGGAAAAAAGCAUUUAACAAGAAAAGGAUUUUAGCUCCUUGGAACUGCAAUACACACACUGAAUAUUAGAGCUAAGCUUAGGGACACUUUGAAUAUUCAUAAAAUGGAAAUCUCUGAUGAAUUCCAGAUCAUUAAUCUGGAUCAGUCCAGAUUAAUGAACACCAUGAAGACAACUUCUUCAAAAUACAGCUUAGAAAAAAAAUUGUUACAGUAACUGUUGUGUUUCAUAUUUACUUCUGAUUAUAUACAAAAGGAUCAAACAGUCCAAGAACUACAGGAAUUUCAGAAAUUAAAAUACUUUGUUAGUGGAAUAAAGGCCACUGCUUCUUUUACAGAAUACUGCAAACAUGCAAAACAAGAAAGAACCAUUAACAAAUCUAUUAGCUAUAAGAAAAUUAAUUUCAUCUACUGGUUGCAUGUAUAUCUCCCCUCUCCAACCACCACCUCUGCUCCAAGAUACGAAUGGUUCUGGAUUCUGAAGUUGUUUUGUCAGUUCCUUUGAGAAAAAAAUCCUGCUAAUCCAAAAAGCUUUAACUGAUUUCAUUGACAGAGAGCAGGCCUGGGUCUUGCACUGUAAGCUACUGCCUCCCUUUGCUCAGGUGGCAACAGAGCAUCUCCAAUGGGAGUUUGGAACACAUCCUGACAUCCACCUCAUGCUCCCUUGUGUGAGGAAAGCCUGGCAUGGCUUAAGCGGAGCUCUGCCACAGCACAUGGCAAGAGGGAAAGGGUUCUCUGAUCCCCAGCAUCUCUGUACCUCUGGCAUAUACUGCAGCUUCUCCAGAAUGAGAGGGAGCCAGCAGUUUUGUCUGCAAGUCCAAGAUGGGGGAAACCAAUAAGAGUUAAAGGAAAAUUAGCUUUUCUGCAGUAUGGAUAUAGAAUUUUAGAUUGUAAUAAAGGAAAUAAAAAGGAAACUGGUAAUUCUCAGUGUUGUAUCAGUAUUCUUUGGAGCUUGCUCUAUCUGCUGUAGUUGCACAACUGGACUGUAGUUUCCCACUUUACAGAUUUACUGACUUACUACAGUGUGAAGCCUCCCAACAUUGAGCAUUGUAAUCAAUAAUUAUUAUUUUCUAUUUAGAAUUAUGAUACAAUUGUGCCCAGGAAUAUUAAAACACCAAAGAUUCCCCACAUUGAAAAGCAGUAUCUAGAUUAGCGAAAUAUUCCUCUGCAGGCCUGGAGCAGACUUCACUUUCCUCCACUACUUCUGUCCAAGUUGAGUGCUUCCCUCUACUUUCUGUAAUACUAAAAACCAAAAGGAAAAAAACCCAACAACAAAAAACUGAGAUUAGUAACCAACUUAUUUCUGAAAGCAAAUGUAAGACUAUGCAACUCUACCUGUCAGUGUUAAGGCUCUUUAGCAUAAAUAAAGUGGGAAGGAAGUUGUCUAGCAAAAGUCAUUAAAAUAAAUUUCCAAUAAAAGGUUACACUGUUGCUUCACUAAGUUACUAGAUGAAUAGCCAAGGUCUCUGCAGACAUCCUGAUCCACUGGCUCCUGCUGGAUGCCCUUCAGAAUCUUCAAAGAGGUGAUAAAGUAACAGAAACACCUACUUCUCAUGAGAAGAAUCUUUCUGCCUUUUCCAAGAUAUUUCACUCAAGGCUAGGUUCAGAUAGAAAAGCACCUUACCCCAAAAGUGAACAAUCCUGAUGUGCACAGGGCCACACUUGCCUGCAUUACAGUUCAGCUGCAGCAAGGUAGCUCUGUCAUGGAGAAGGACAGCGGAAGCCCCUGUGUAUUCCUCACCAGCCAUAAGCAGACAGGCUAACAACAGCUAAUGCACAUCAGUUGUGCUCAGAGCAGCUUUUACAACAUCUUCCCUGCCUCAGCCUUCCUUGAGACAAAUGAUCAACGACCCACACAGAAUGACUAUUGGUUUUUCUUUAAGUUCACACUUCUGAAGCAAAAUGUUUUUGUAAUGCCGGACUUCCUGACUGCAAUGCAACAGUUCUGCAUCAAAGAAUGCUUUAUAGCACAAAAAUUAGAGAAGCACCUAAAAAAAUUGGACACAUGUUUGAAAAUGCUUUUCCUAUGCAUAGGGCUUCAUUUGUAUUAGAAAAAGAUCUAGCAUUACACCAUAGAUUCAUCUGUUUCAACCAAGUGUUACAAUUUAGGAAACUUGUACCACAACUGCUUUUCUUGGUCAGCUGACAGUGGCAGAUAGUACAAAGGAAAUAUCCAUGGAAGUUUGAUAGCAUGAAAUUCCCAUAACUGCACACAUUUUUCUUCACAGUUGGCACUUCAGCAGUUCAGAGCUUCAGCCACCCUGCACUGCUCUUGUCAAGAGACAGGGAUUCACAGGUUUAAAUUGCCUGGUGCCACUGUCAGAAAUACAACUGCUGUAUCACAGCAGCAAGAUGGCAACACUUCAUCCUGGUGGCAGCAGUUCCCAUAUUGACAGAAAGAGGAUCAAAUGCUGGAUUUCUCUUUUGGGAAGUAUAUGAGCAGAUAAAUGCAGGUUUCUCUGAAACCACUGGAGGAGCAGAAACCAUAAUUUGGGAACCCUGGCACAAUGCCAAAAAUAAAAUAAAUAAUUUUUUUAAAUGAAGCCAAGUUAAUCAUUAGCAUUGGCUCUAAACAAGUCAAAGUCCUCACAUUUUAAAUGGUUGUGUCAGUAAGAAGACUUGAACUUUUCUUCUAGGACAGCAGCCUAAGCUUUUAGCUGGGAUGAACAACAAAGGGCUUUUGGUCACCUCAAGUAACUCCAGCAACACAUCUGGUAUGAAUAAACUUCAGAACAGCUUGCUACAAAAACUGCUUCAGUAAGUACAAAUAUUCUUCAGUAGGUCUAGUAAGCCUUUGAAAUCUCCUGCUUGUGAAAUACUGAUAAGCACUAUGUUGAUCACACCUGGAAGCACAGAAGAGGAAAAUGCAUUUAUUUCUUCCCAGACUUCAUUUUAUUAGUUAUCUUCCAGAAGCUUUUUGGAUGUGGGUUUGGUUUUUGGUUUUUAGUACAUUUUUUGUGAGGUUUCUUUCAUGAGGUUUUUUUUUUUUCAGAAUUACUUUUUGCCCACAAAUAUUGCUUUUAGAAAUAAAAUACAAAAAAAAAAAAAACCCACCCAAACAAUUAACUUAAAACUAUUUUUGCAUUUUCUUUCCUGUACUAAUCUUUCACAAUAAUUUGCCCUGUGAUUACUGUCUGUAAAAGACUAGUGAUUUGUAGGUAUUUUACUGCUUAGAAUAAGUGCAAGACAUCUGACUUGCUAUCAGCUGAAGCAGAAGCCUUAAACCCCUUGCUGUUUUCACUGUGCCAGUGAAGCUCCGGGAAGACACCGGGUAGGCAUGGAUCUAUAUGACAGCUUAACCAUUGUUUUGUCUCACCAUUCACAGACUACUUAAGUUGCCAUGUUUUAAUCAAUGCAUCUUUGAAAAAACUCUCUACAGAUCAAAACACAUGCUAAAUCCCUCCGUGGAAAUUAUAGGAAAUUCUGCAAGAAGUUUAAAAGGCUGUUGUCCAAAAUGCUGAGAAAAACAGUAAGAAUACCGGAAUACAGACAGGAGCCCCCCAUGUCUUUCCCACCACAGAGGACUGGGGACACCAGCUUUCUUCACACAGUGCCUAACAUUUAGGUAGAUUUAAUAACUUCCCUACCCUUUAGCCUGAAAUCUAAGCUCAUUCAAAAGCUAAGUGCCCCAAGUCCAAAGAGAUUUUCACUGCAUCAUCUGCAGCACUGAAUCACAGAAUCAUUGGUUUGUGUCAGACUGACCUUAAAGAUCAUCUUGUUUCAACAAACCUGCCAUGGGCAGGGACACCUUCCACUAGCCCAGGCUGCUCAAAGCUCCAUCCAGCCUGACUUCAAAAAUAUAAAAAACAUGUAUACUACUAAUGAAGGAAACAUCUGGGCUAUGAUUUGACAAAAAAUGCCUUUUCAUUUUAGUCCUUCUAUCAAACUCUAUCAGACUGCAAGGCAAAGUGUGCAUUUGGAUAGCCUAUGCAGAAAUAUCAAGUGGCUCCUCAAGUGCUAUGACUCUCAGCCUGGAGAAGCAGCUACUCUCUGUCCUGACUGUGGUAAAGAAAUGUCCACAUGUUCCUCUCACAGGCUUUCCUAAGAGACAAGACACAAACCAAAAACUGACAAUAGAAGAAUAAGAGGACACAAGGGACACUGUCUUCUAAGACAGACUCCUACAGAAACAGUACCUUAGAAAUGCAAGAGAUUGUCCAUUAUACUAGCAACUGCCAGUAAAGUGAUAAAGAUUUAUUAUGAAGCAGACACUAAUGUUUAUCUUUUUAACUACUAUAGAGAAACUGGAGAAAAUAUAUAUUGCUUGUAUUGGGCUAGGCAUCACUUCUUGUGCAUGUGCUCAGCAACAGCUGCCUAGAAAACUAGCUUGAAGAAACUGGAACAUUUUAUACUAUGAUUUUAUUAAACAACAAGCAAAAAAUAAAAUUCACUUGUUUAAUUAAAACCUCCCUUUAGUAUUACAUUUCUUUUCAAUAUGAUUUUGUUUUGCUUUUGGCAACAUCAGAAUUAAAGCAAACUCAUCCAAAAAGUAAAACUAAAUUCAGUAAAGAACUCAAUUUCUGGAUGAAGAGAGGUCACAGUAUUCAGGUAUCAUUACUCCAAGUUCCCUCACCAGCUCUAACUGCUGGAUCCUCACAUUACUCUACAAAUUCACAUUAAAAAUGUCUCUUGACCUGCUGGCUCACUUUCCUCUGGGCAAUUUUUCAACUCUAAAAUAAGUUCACUAGCCUGCAGCUAAUAAUUUGAAGUCAACAGUACUGACUAUAAGCAUAUUAGAACUAAAUUAAACACAGACAAAAAUCAAAGAAACAAAGGACUUGGGUAAUUUCUUCCCGCUACUAAAAUAUGUUUGCAGACAGAUGCAAAACUCAGAAGUUGCAUGUACCUACAAUACUUCAGGCAGGUACUUAAUUAAGUAUCUAUACUGGAUUAAAAGGUCUAUCUCGUAUUGGAAUUGACAACAAAAUAUGAAGUGUUUCCAAAAAGUACAAACCAUAAAUAUGGUAAUAUUUGUGGUUUAUAUGGUAAGGGAAGGGGAAGGCAAUACUCAAUUCCCACCAACAUGCAUGUGGUUUAAACCACUGGCACUUCUCAGAUUGGAAUGAAAAUAAGUGUCUAGGCAAGUUUUCAAUUGUUAAAGAGACUUGGACAUAUUUCCUGUAGUAAUAAAGACAACAGCUUACUAGCCACUUCAGUAACUUGGGCUUUUCUCAGUGAAGACACAUUAACUCUUCAGAUCUACCACACAGGACUUCACUGUCUUGCUGAAAGUAAUUUUUUGGUCAUGAAAGACUACGUGAAUUUAGUUCAGGCUAGUCCCACUCAUUUUUUGUUCCACAUUUUAUUUUUGAUUCAUAGAACAUGAGCUUCUUUACAGCUGUCUACCUGUCAGCAAACAUCACCACACCUCAAAGCCCAGUGAAAUGUGCUCCUGGCCAGCAUUACAGGCAGAAUGCACAUCAAGAACUUGCAUUCAAGUGAAUUCCUACUCAGGAAGCCUCUUGUUCAACUCAAGCAUCUGGGACUAAAAGUCAUUGAUGCAGAAUGAGGUCUAAAAUAGUUAUAUGACUAAGAUCUCUUAAGAGUGUUAGAGUAAAACAGAUCUUAAAAUUGUAAGAUGUUAAAACCAAUUACAGCUUCUUUCCAUGCAGUUAUAAGCCAGGUGGGUAGAUAACCAUGCCACAGAGCAUGAAAAAAGCAAAGCGAAAACUGUGAUGUUUCCUAGAUUUACAGCAGUGCUUAAAAAUAUUAAAGUCUGAGAAUUAUCUAUAAGCAGUUCAGUGGUUUAAAAAAGCAGCAUAUUUUCAGAAUAACUAUUAUGCACUACUAAAAGAGGUGCUUGGUUACAUUUUGGUGUGUUCAUACUGACUUAUUUAUGGGGUCUUGUCAGACCCAAGAACAGAAUCUACAUGCACCCAAGCAACACUGAAGCAAGGAAAAUUCAGUUGCAGAAAUACAUUCAAGAAACCCAUGUGAUUUAAAGAUAUUUCCAAAUACUGACUCAGAUACUCCUCUGAAUCACAUCCGAGCUUUCUGCUGGGUUAAGCACCUUUUUUCUUGUUUAAAACAUUACUUACAAACUAGUUAUCAAUUAAAAAUGUACUGCAAAACUCCUACCAUGAGUGAGGAACUCCAGUGAUGCCAGAUCUUUUUCAGAAACAAUUUACCGCACUGCUCCAAGUGCCCAGCCUUCCCCAUGUUUUUUCUUUCUGAAUACCAACCUUUCCCAGAUCCUCAGAUAAACUGGGGACUCAACAAUUUUGAAUUUGAUAACAUUAAUUCCAAUUUCACCACGACUACAGCAAGUAAUAAAUGCAGCAAUUGCAGCAUGGGUUUGUAUUUACAGAUGUCAGGCAGGAUGCAUUUAUGUCAAGUGUGAUUAAAAUCUCUGCCUAGAUUAAUCAUUACUGUAUCUCUGAAAUCAAACUGCAAAACUUGCAACUGUUUGCUGAACCAAUAUUUAAUGGCGUGUUUCAGAAGCCUGCUGUGCCAAGUCCCCUGAUGUUUGCCUGAAACUUUAGGGCACGGUUCUGUCCCCAAAGAACAGAGCCAGGAAGAUGUGAAGGUUUCAGAAAAAGCCAGCAGCAUUCACCAGAAAAAUUGCCACAUUGUGGCCUACUCAUUAAGACAGCUUGUAGUCACAAUAGUGCUGCCUCUACAAGAGCAGAGAUUAGAAAAAAUUAGUAAUUAUCCUAAUAAUUGGAGAGGCACAAAGUUUCGCUAAGGUUAUCGAGCAAACUUCAAGUCCUUUCAGACUCUGCACACUAUUACACAUUGUGGAUCUCAAUGUACCACAUGCACAGGCCACUCUAGAAGCAAAUGAAUACCUGGCAAAGCAAACUAAGUGCAUGUUAAAAUGAUGCUGCUUCAAAUACACUUCAUCCAUAAAAUACAGAAUGGAACAGCUGUACUACUCUGAAGUCCCCAACACUGGUAAAUAUUAAUAGGAAAACAUGCAUGCUCACUGAAAGCAGUUGGGAAGGAAUCUGAAAUGCACCAGGAUGAGCUCUCCACAUGGAAUUCUGCUAAAUUCUCUGUUACUUGAGUAACCAACACUAAUCAACAUAGUAGUGUUUUGUUAUAUCUCAGUUCUUAUUAGAAACACUACUUUGUAAAAGCCUAUAUUUACUUUUAUUUUAUGAACAAAAGUGAGGAAAAUGUUACAUCAACAUAAAUGCAUUACCAUUUUAUCAGAGGAAGCUUCUUUACUCUAGAAAUGGGCAAGGUUCACAUUUUUUGGGUUCUAAAGUAUCCAAGCCUACAGCUAUUUUAGGCUUUUCUAUUGGCAGUGUAGAAAAGUACAAGGCCCUGUAAGAUUACAAACUUUAUUUCAUGAUAAAUGGCAGCUCGAAUAAGCAAAGCCCAGUCAUUAGACCUGGCCAGAAAACACCCAGCACUUGAACUGGACAUUAAUGACCUGCAAUUUAAUGCAACGUGCACACCAGCAGUGUAGGCAUAUCCCACUUUAAGACAAAGACUUAAAAAAAAGAAGAAAAGGAAUGCCUGGACAGAUGCAUUUAAUAAAUAAAAAAACAAACCAAGAGGUGUAAUGAAUGACAGAACUGGAUUAAGUCACGCGACAUUGAAAGUUUGACAGAACACCUCACAAACUUUUCUUGUACCAGCAACAUUUUACAGUGACAGAAAGCAUCAAAGAAGCCUGAAAAGAAAGUUAGAACUUCUGCUUCCUUACGAAUUACUAGAAAAUUUGGCAGCUUGACAGAAUGUGACAGAGCUGUUGAUAAAAAAAAAUGUAAUUCAACAACCUUCAUACAAACAUCCAAGACUGUGGUCUAGUUACUUGCAGCAAGGAAGAUGCCUAAUUUUGUAUUCCACAAGCAAUCAUUUUCAGAAGAAAAAUAUAGGGCUAUUAAGGAAGGAAAUUACAAUACUGCUGAAAGAAGUGUGCUGUAACUAGGUAAGCACUAAUUACAUUAUAUUAUCAUAUGUAAUUGCAAUAUUCAGUUACUGAAUUAAACCUUGACCCCCCCAAAAAAAGAACCAAUGCAGUGGAGGAAAUAAGACAUUUAAGCUUAGCUCUCAGAUCCUAUGAAGCUAUAAGGUGAAGCACCUCAUCAGUCAUCGCCUUACUGCUGCAGAAAGAUGAAUUGUAUAGGCUCUUCAGGCAAUACCAGAAUUUUAAUAAGAACUAAAAAUAAACAAUAAAUGUAAUAGACUUAUAUCAAUUGUCUUUCUUCUGGAAACCACUUACAUAAACACCAUAGAGGGGAAAAAACCCCCGAACCUGUCAUACAGAAGGGAGGUACAGUUUAAAGUUACUCUAAGAGAAUUUUUAUAGCUGUUCUUGCAAAUUAGCCCUUUUGUUCUAUCAACCAGGAAAGCAAACACUUUGCUUGAAUUGAGAUGACAACUAAUUUUUGCUCUGAACAUUGAGAACUGCAGUCUCAGAAGUCUGGGAAAAGCAAAGCAAGUCCAAAGCCUAUUGUGUUUAAACAGAGAUACCAUAUGAAUACACAAAAUAAAAGCACAACAGUUCCCUUGCCAAGGAGGAGCAGAUGGCAACUCAGAGCAGAAGUCAGUAACUCAAUGACAAGUCAUAAGAAAUAAGACCCAUCAACCAGCUCUUCACCAUUCUCCACUUUUUUACAGGAGUGGGACUGAAUUAUUUCAGCUGGGCAAGUCCCACUUGCAGAAACCCUGGGCCAGACAUGGCUGCCACUCCUCAGAAGCAGCUGUUUUGCCUGGACUCCCCAGAGACCUCCCACAGGCUGCACUGCCCAUCUUCUCACCACCUCCUCCUCCUUCCAGCCACCUAUUUUGCACAUUGGAAACCCCUCCUGUUCAGUGGCUUCCUUUAAAGGGCAGGACCUGGGGGAAGAGCUGCUCUAAAACACAGGAGGAAAUAGAGCUUUUACCCACAAAAAACAUGUUCACACACAGAGUCGCUGGUUUGACUUCACCCAGCACACUUCUAUGUUACCCAGCACACUUCACCCUGUUACCAGCAGUGCCGAGAAUGGCUCAUGUGCCCUUCAUACCAUGUCCCAAAUGUCUCCUCACAACCACUCAACAGCUGGACCAGGCUGCAUAAUGGCAGCUCCCUACAGGAAGAGCUGUUCCUUGUGCCCUUCUCCCCUUACUGUGGGUCUUACAGAGGACUAUCUGCAAAAGUUAAAUGAUUCUGGUCUUAAUGUCUUUUUUUUUAAUAUAUAUAUUGUUGACAGAGGUGUCUUAUUCAUACAAAGCUCAAAGAUUAAGAAGGCUUGGGAAAGAAAGUGAUAAUGCUCAGAGCUUAAGUUAAAUUUUCCUGUAAGCAAUAUGCUUUUUUUUCCUCUCUCUUCAGUAGCACUUGAAUUUUGCUUAUUGGACUACUACAAGAUUGUUCUAUUGUUUGAACUUUCUGUUACUUGGGAAGCUCCUUUCCAAUCAUAAACUGCUGAGAAAGCAGGAAUGCAACUAAAGAAAGUAAAAGCACAAGCUCUGAUUUUCAGCACUCUGAGAAGUGCAAAGUGAAUUCGGAGAAAUUGUAAUUGUGAAACACGCUUUGAAAUAGAAGAGGUUUAGCUUUAAAUGCUGAACACUGCAAUAGCUAUUUACUUAAAAUUAUUCUAGAUAUCUAAAUGCUCAUCUGUCCUACUGGAGGGCUGGUUGAAACAAAUCACUCCCACUAUUUUACAGUCUCUUCUCUAUUACCUGCUUUUAAAAUGUUUUGCAAGACUGCUCCCAACACCAUAAAUGUUUCAAUUGCUUGUAAAUUUAAUACAGGAGGGAACUCACAUAUUUGAAAUGGCAAAAUUCUCAAACGAUUUUUAUCUUGGUAAUCAUUGUAAACUCUGAAAUUUGCCAGAUGCCCUAAUCAAAUAAGGAGAGGUUUAGUGAAUAUUCACACACUCUUCUAGGACUUUUUUCAAGACCUGAAAAUCUGAGGAGGAAGAUAGUUCAGAGGAAAACCUUGAGAGAAUGCAGUAAAUUAAACCUUCUUAUGAAGCUACAGUUAACUGUAAAGCCUUAUUUCUGAAGUAAUACCAAUAUAUGGAGAAAUUGUACCAGAGUGAAAGCCUGAAACUCUGAAUCUAUAAACCAGAUGUAGCUUAUGACAUUUGAUAUCAGGCUUCCUUCUCUUUGGCUCCUGUAAUCAUGUUUUUAAAUUAUGACCUCUGAUAAUGAGUCUCUGAUGACUCUGCCUAGGUGCUCAAAAUAACUUUGAAAAACUGAGUCAGAGGAAUCAUUACUCAAGCACAGCAUCACUCAGAAUAUUACCAGCUCUCCAGCUUUCCAGCACAGAAAUGAGAAGCCUUGAACUGGUAAUUGCUGCAAUGUAACAUAAACCACAUAUCACUGAACCUUUAAAAGACCAUAAGGCCAGACAGAAAGACAAAAGAACAGAAAACCUGCGUCUUCAUAAGAUAACUAUAUCAGUUCUCAUGCUCAUCCUAACAUCUCGCUCCUCCAAUAGGUCAGGAAUCUGCGGUUAAUCUGCAUUACCAAACAUUUCCCCCUUCUCUAGUCAUCUUGUAGCCCCUUAAAAAACAAACCACUAAACUAAAACAAUCUAAAAAGCCCCAGGAAGUAUCCCCACAUCUACUUAAUACUAGCCCAAAAGACCCAAACAACAUUUUACAUCAUUAGAUCGUAAAAUCAAAAUCAUUACUUCAACUAAUAAUUUUGUUCCAUCACAACCUACAUACACAGAUCACCUGUGAUCUCAUGUUUUGUAUUAUGUCUUGUUUUGCUGAAUUUAAAUAAUGGAACAUGUUGAAUGGAUUAUGGCAUGAUCUGCAUAGAAGAGGAUCAUCCCAACUCACAGAUGUCUUAAGAUUUAUUAACUGAAUCUUCCCUUAAGAUGAGAUUUACGAAAGGAGUCUGUUUCCAAAGCAAGGACAAAUCAGAAUGUAGAUUAACACAACACGAAGUCUGGGUAUUUUGGAGGAUUUAGCACAGAGGAGUGCUACACUUCCCAGCUGCAAAUCAGAACAAGGAAUUGUUUCUAACCAACUCAAGUGAUGGUAUAAAGGAAAAUGUGGGACUUCUUUGGGAAGCCUUACACUGCUGAGAGUAAUAGAGAAUGAAAAAGAAAGAUGAAAGGAAGGAUACAAACUUAAGGAUAAUAAUAUUUAAGGCUAAUGUGUUAUUACCUUUCCCUCCCUGAAAUUUUCAUAUGUAAAUCAUGACCUUCCUUCACCACAACUACAAGAACUAUGCGGAAUUCAACUAUACCUGGCCAGUGGCAUUAAAAGAGAAAACCCAACAUGAUCAGAUGGACAAAAAAGCCUUGAACAGCAUUUCCUUGUUUUAGAAGUACUGUUAAGUUGUAUCUUCUUUAAAGAACAGAAUGUUUAGUCUAAGCUUUCAUCUCAAAGGACUUCCUCCCACAAAAAAGGGCCCAGUCCUGAAAACAGAACCAGAUAAAUGAGUUCUCAAAGUACACAAACCAUUGAACAAUCAAGAACAUAAUGGUGGGAUGUAAGUGCCCUUAAAGUUAUAAAGAAAAAAAAACUGUUGGUAUUGACAGUAAGAGGGGCCUAACUUCACAAAGCUUAUCAACAACUGCCUUAUGAAAUACCUCUCUUGGGAAAGCAAUGUCACCAACAUCAACAAUGUUACACCAAUAAAUCAGCUCCUAGUUUCAACUUCUAAAUUAAAACUCUUACCAUAUGUUAUCAGCACAGGUUCCAGAAGAACUGGAAGAACUGUCUUGCCCAUAGCCUAUUCAGUUCUCUCACUUCCUUCUGAAAUCAGGGCUUAACAAAUGGCAAAACAUCAGCCUUUUCAAGAAAAGGACUUGCCUACAUUUUAAAAUAAUAAAUAAGUUUAAAAAUAGGCUAAGGUAGGGAGAACGUUGUUUAAAAGCCAGCAUAUUGCUUCCUGACAUUUCUAGCUCUCCCUAUUGAAUGAAGCUCAAAAACAAAAGAAAGGACAUGAGUAAAGCUGGGACUUGGCAAACUCUAGCGGGGAAAGAAUAUGAAAGGCCAAAGAAACCACGAAGGAACGUACAGAAGAAUGACAAUCUCAUCUGUGGCUUUUGUAAGCAACUAUGACAGAAACAUUUACCAAACUGCAUCUUCCUUGUGACCAAGUUUAGAAAAUUUUUUAGGCUCAGGCACUUUCUGUGUCAUGCCAUUUGUGACACAGUUAAAAAUAAGGAAUUUGUAAGGUUAACUCUGCUUCUGAAGGAAGCAUCCAAAAUAAAAGUAUUUAGCUGAAAUCAUCGGUUCUUAAAUGUGGACAUGAAAUUGCUUUACCUCUGAAGUCCGGUUCAGUUAAAUGACUGUGAAACUCUAGAAGUCUCCUAAACAACCUUCUUUUUUUCUUAUUUUGAUAGGGUUUAACAUUUGUUUCAGUUUUUAGAGCACACAACCUUGAGCAAACCACAAAGCCCAAUGCCAAGCUAAAGUAAGGAUCUAGCCAACAGAAGAACUGCCUCCAGAAGCCUCAGAUCCUCCAUUUCCCAUUUAUAUUUUCACCCUUCUCCGUGAAAAUCUCCUGCUGCCCACCCAACCUUCUGUAUCAGCUCUGAGCAAGCUUUCAACUACUGCAACUACCUAGAACUGGAGAAAUGACGCCACUGUUUCCAUUCUGUGAAUAUUUUUACUGUUUCAGCAACUUACUGUAUCUUAAAAACAGGCCUGACAAGUGUUGGAGUAGAUUCCUGGGAUGUACAUACAGCAUGGGAUGAGGAGCAAGAAAGGAGAAGGAGCAAUGGCCACUGCUAAUUUAGCUCACAUCAUCAGAGACAGCCUCCACAGCCUGCAGAGUGCUUAAGGCCUACAGUCACCUCACCUGUUUUGACAGAAGACUCCCUACCAAGUUGCCAGUUAACAAAUAUGCUAGGAAAGCAUCUGUAAAGGCUUCUUGGUAUGAAAAUAGUAGUCCUUUCCCCUAAAAGUGUUUAUUGUUUCAAUAAGAAAUGCAUUGAUUUUGAAUGGUACAGAGAAGAGCACAUUACACAUACAUGAAAACUCUAGGAAUUUAAUUGAUGUGGUUUAUCAAAGUGGGAGCAAGAAAACUGGUCAAGGAUUACAAGCUAGCUAUGGAAGAAAUCCCUAUUUGCAUCCUCCACCUCACAAAAUCUAACAACUUGAUUGAAGCAUUUGUAAAUCUUGUAGAGAAAAUGAUAAAUCUGAAAACAGAAGCUGGGCAAGUUCAGAUUCCAAAGAAAGAAGCAUCAACAGCAAGAUGGUUUAAUAACAACAACAACAACAACAACAGACAGAUUGGAUUUUCCAUCAUUGAAAGCAUUCAAAUCAAGACUGAAUUUGCCCCCAGCCUUCCUUAGAAAGUAUAUUCAAGUUUAAACAGGAAUCAAUUCCGGAAGCACUAACAGCCUGUGCAGCACAGGCCAGGCCAGAUUGUCAGUCACCCUUAUCAGCUAUAUAGGAUUUGACACCAUUAAAGUUCAAAAAUUCAUACUCCAGACAACUACUUACAGUUUAUGUUUUUUAACAUUUCAUGUAAAAUACAAAUACAUCUUGCAUAUUUCUUUCAAAAAGAGGCAAUUUGUGAAGGAGCACAAGCAGAAGGUGAGAAAUUUGUUUACAAUAUAAAAAACAAAAUUUACUUUCCAAAUGAAAUGGUGACUGGUUAGUUGGCUGGGCUCCUAAAAACUGCUUUUUCAGCCAGUUACUCCCUUACACUGCUCAAAAAGACAAUAUAUUCUUUACUAUAGCUGAUGUCUGCACAAUGUGAAGAAAAUAAAAUCCAAACCAGGGCAGUUUGCAGAGAGGUACCCAUCUCCUGGGUAGAGCUCACAGAAAAUAAAGUAAGCGUCUCUUCAGUACUGCUCAGAGUUACCAGCAUAACAGAAUAAUAGCAAUAAAAUACCAACUCUUUCCUGACUACCACUUACCAAUUUUAGCUUUCAAGUCAAAGUAUAUUACCAUAUCUUGCAACGUGUAGAAUAAAAAAAAUUGCACCACCUGAUUUUAAGCCAGUCUGGAUUAGGAAGUCAAAAAUUAUACGCCCUUCCGUCUGGGGCCAUAAUGUUUCCAAAAAAUAUUUAAUGAAAAGCAAAGUGAAAGUUUCCAAAUGUAUGAAUAAAAUGGAUCGCGUGUUCGGCACAGAACACAGGAUCCCAUGAGGACAGUGCACCUCAAAAUGAGCUGAGAAACAGUACACUGGUUUAGUACAGUAUCUGCCUCACACACUGUGUAUUAUGUAGUAUAUACCCACCAGAAGUAAUUUUCUUGCUACCUCGUUAGAUUGAGUAAAAAAUAUUCAUACACACAUCCCAUGAAUUACUGGAACCCACCAAUGUAAAAACCAAGUCUAUCAACAAUAUUCUGAAAGCUCAACAGAAACAUAAAUUUCACUAUAUUGACUAGAUUCACUGUAUUUUUAAACUGCCUAAGUGAUUUUGAAACCGAAAAUCAAGUUCUUGGUGCUUUGGAAAAAGUUUAUCCAAACAUGAGCCACCAUCAGCUUACAUGGUUACAAAGACAGCAACUUAUACAUUAAAUCUGACACAUUCAAGAUGUGGAAUUUCUUCAGCGCUGAGAAGAGCAACAUAAAUAGUGCACUGUGUGAGAACCGCCUCAGUAAAAGGAAGUUUUUUAAACUGCUGGCCAACCUAAUGGAAUCAGGUGACUCAAAGUAAUACUUCAAAUACCAAAAAAGUCUUCCUGAGAUACUUAGACAAGUCACAGAUGAGUUGCUGGUGCAUGUUAACUCACACCUACACAAGCAGAGAUGCUUUCAUCAACCAAUAUAGUAAACAAAUAUUGUUUAUUUAGAAAGAGGCCACUUUCAGAUAGGAUGGGCUAAUUUUGACAGUUGCAUUAGCAGCAGACACUGUUGAAGAACUGAACAAAACAAUUUAACUUCCUGUCUUUUUUUUUUUUUUUUUUUUUUUUUUUUUUGCUGUUGGGUUUGUUUGUUGUUUUUUUUUUUUCGCGUAUAAAAUCACAGCUUAUUACUAAGAGGUCGCGCACUGCGGACUCUGGGCUCCCACCAGAGACACGGCACGGCCACCCCCGGAUGCCACCGAGGGGGUCAGCAUCAGCUGCCCUGACGCGCUGGGCGGCGAGGGGCGAGCGGGCCGGGACAGCCGGGCCGGGACAGC